GAGGGUCUAGCUCAUUGAAAGAGCUUGUGCUUAGCAUGCACGAGGUCCUGGGUUUGAUCCCCAAUACCUCCA
rnacentral:tRNA from 1 species